rnacentral:rRNA from 1 species
AGUGAACGCUGGCGGUAGGCCUAACACAUGCAAGUCGAACGGCAGCACAUUAAGAGCUUGCUCUUACGGUUGGCGAGUGACGGACGGGUGAGGAAUACAUCAGAAUCUACUUUUUCGUGGGGGACAACGGAGGAAAACUUACGCUAAUACCUCAUACGACCUACGGGUGAAAGCAAGGGUGCAUCGUACCUUGCCCUAUUGAAUGAGCCGAUGUCGGAUUAGCUAGUUGGCGGGGUAAAGGCCCACCAAGGCGACGAUCCGUAGCUGGUCUGAGAGGAUGGUCAGCCACACUGGAACUGAGACACGGUCCAGACUCCUACGGGAGGAAGCAGUGGGGAAUAUUGGACAAUGGGCGAAAGCCUGAUCCAGCCAUACCGCGUGGGUGAAGAAGGUCUUCGGGUUGUAAAGCCCUUUUGUUGGGAAAGAAAAGCAGCAGGUUAAUACCCCGAUGUUCUGACGGUACCCAACGAAUAAGCACCGGCUAACUUCGUG